rnacentral:tRNA from 1 species
UGCAUCGGCCGGGAAUCGAACCCGGAGCGCCCGCGUGGCAGGGGAACAUUCUACCACUGAACCAAAAGC